rnacentral:lncRNA from 1 species
UUCAAAAAGGCUUUAGGAUGAUAAAGACGCCUGGGCAGCUUUCUAAUGCUGUAUGCAAUGCCGUCCUGCAAACGUGUUUGGAUCUGCCUGCCGUCAAGACUCACCACUUCCCACCUGUACACUGCUGUCUGUCCUCAUUUCAAGUGAAUCACCUUGCGGUCUUCUUAUGCCAGGUUCAGAGCUCAUGCCAGACGCUGUGGAAGGAUUGUUUUUUGACUCUCUAAUACUGUGGAAGAAAAAGAGAUCUUCCAGAUAUCAGAGUUCUCCUGACAGCUGAAGAAGUGAUGGAUGAGCUGGGGUCUCAAUUCAUCAG